rnacentral:rRNA from 1 species
CAAUAGCGUAUAUUAAAGUUGUUGCAGUUAAAAAGCUCGUAGUUGGAUUUCUGGUUCUUUGUUUUCCCGAUCUGAAUGGAUCUGAGGAGAAUGGGGAUGCCAUUUUUGCAAGGACCUUGUCUGCAAUUAAUUUUGUGGGUUUGUUAAUUGCAUCUUUUACUGUGAAAAAAUUAGAGUGUUUAAAGCAGGCAUUUUGGCUCUGAAUACAUUAGCAUGGAAUAAUAAGAUAGGACUUUGGUGCUAUUUUAUUGGUUUGCACACCAAAGUAAUGAUUAACAGGGACAGUUGGGGGUAUUCGUAUUUAGUUGUCAGAGGUGAAAUUCUUGGAUUUACGAAAGACGAACUACUGCGAAAGCAUUUACCAAGGAUGUUUUCAUUAA